UACGUAGGGUGCAAGCGUUGUCCGGAAUUAUUGGGCGUAAAGAGCUCGUAGGCGGUUUGUCGCGUCUGCCGUGAAAGUCCGGGGCUCAACUCCGGAUCUGCGGUGGGUACGGGCAGACUAGAGUGAUGUAGGGGAGACUGGAAUUCCUGGUGUAGCGGUGAAAUGCGCAGAUAUCGAGGAGGAACACCGAUGGCGAAGGCAGGUCUCUGGGCAUUAACUGACGCUGAGGAAGCGGAAAGCAUGGGGAGCGAACAGG
rnacentral:rRNA from 1 species